GACGAACGCUGGCGGCGUGCCUAAUACAUGCAAGUAGAACGCAGUUGCGCACGGGUGAGUAACGUGUCGGUCACCCGCCUCAUAGCGGGGGAAAACUAGUGGAAACGAUAGCUAAUACCCCAUUCUGUGAGACGGACCUGCGUUGUAUUGGCUAGUUGGUGAGGUAAAGGUUCACCAAGGCGCCGAGACACAGCCGCCCUGAGAGGGUGAUCCGCCACCCUGGGAAUGGAGAACGGCCCAGCAUCCUGCGGGAUGCAGGAGUAGGGAAUCAUCGGCAAUGGACGGAAGUCUGGCCGCGCAACGCCGCGUGAGUGAAGAAGGUUGUCGGAUCGUAAAGCUCUGUUGUUAGAGAAGCGGUAACUACCCAGAAAGGGACGGCUAACUACGUGCCAGCAGCCGCGGUAAUAC
rnacentral:rRNA from 1 species